rnacentral:lncRNA from 1 species
UUUAUGACCAAUCAAAUUGACACAUAGAUUAUUAAUUAAAAAAUAUUAAAUUAAACAAAAAAUAGCUACAAAAAAUAAAAACGCUAAUUUUAACAACGCUAACGCUUCAACCUAAACCCUAAAUAUUAAAUUCUAAACCCUAUACCCUAAAUUCUAAACCCAAAUCCAAACCCCUAAACCCAAACCCUAUACCCUAAACCCUAAUCCUAGACCCUAAACCCAAAUUAUAUACCCUAAACUCAAAAACUAGACUAUAAACCUAAACUUUAUACCCUAAACCCAAGUCCUACACCCUAAACCCAAACCGUAAACCUUAAUCUCUAAUCCUAGACCCUAAACCCUAAUCCUAGACCCUAAACCCAAAUUAUAUACCU